CAUGGCUCAGAGUGAACGCUGGCGGUAGGCCUAACACAUGCAAGUCGAACGGCAGCACAGGAGAGCUUGCUCUCUGGGUGGCGAGUGGCGGACGGGUGAGGAAUACAUCGGAAUCUACCUUGUCGUGGGGGAUAACGUAGGGAAACUUACGCUAAUACCGCAUACGACCUUCGGGUGAAAGUGGGGGACCGCAAGGCCUCACGCGAUUAGAUGAGCCGAUGUCGGAUUAGCUAGUUGGCGGGGUAAAAGCCCACCAAGGCGACGAUCCGUAGCUGGUCUGAGAGGAUGAUCAGCCACACUGGAACUGAGACACGGUCCAGACUCCUACGG
rnacentral:rRNA from 1 species